GAUGAACGCUGGCGGCGUGCCUAAUACAUGCAAGUCGAGCGAACGGACGAGAAGCUUGCUUCUCUGAUGUUAGCGGCGGACGGGUGAGUAACACGUGGAUAACCUACCUAUAAGACUGGGAUAACUUCGGGAAACCGGAGCUAAUACCGGAUAAUAUUUUGAACCGCAUGGUUCAAAAGUGAAAGACGGUCUUGCUGUCACUUAUAGAUGGAUCCGCGCUGCAUUAGCUAGUUGGUAAGGUAACGGCUUACCAAGGCAACGGUGCAUAGCCGACCUGAGAGGGUGAUCGGCCACACUGGAACUGAGACACGGUCCAGACUCCUACGGGAGGCAGCAGUAGGGAAUCUUCCGCAAUGGGCGAAAGCCUGACGGAGCAACGCCGCGUGAGUGAUGAAGGUCUUCGGAUCGUAAAACUCUGUUAUUAGGGAAGAACAUAUGUGUAAGUAACUGUGCACAUCUUGACGGUACCUAAUCAGAAAGCCACGGCUAACUACGUGC
rnacentral:rRNA from 1 species